rnacentral:rRNA from 1 species
CUCAGAUCACGUAAAUUUUUAAUAGUCGAACAGACUAAAUUUUUAAGUUCCUUCACCUAAAGAUACUUUUAAUUCAACAUCGAGGUCACAAUCUUAACUAUUAAUAAGAACUUGCUAGUUAAAUAACGCUGUUAUCCCUAGAGUAACUGAUAAAAAAUUAUUAUUAUUCAUUAAAAAUUAUUAUCUUCAAUUAUUGCCCCAAUAAAAAUUUGUAAGUUAAAAUUUUUAGCUUCUAGGGUCUUCUCGUCCCAGAGGAGAAUUAAAGCAUUUUUACUUUAAAUUUUAAUUCAAAUUAAUAUUAUAAAACAAUCUUUUAUUUUUCUACCAUUCAUUCCAGUCCUCAAUUAAAGCA